rnacentral:rRNA from 1 species
GACGAACGCUGGCGGCGUGCUUAACACAUGCAAGUCGAACGGAAAGGCCCUGCUUUUGUGGGGUGCUCGAGUGGCGAACGGGUGAGUAACACGUGAGUAACCUGCCCUUGACUUUGGGAUAACUUCAGGAAACUGGGGCUAAUACCGGAUAGGAGCUCCUGCUGCAUGGUGGGGGUUGGAAAGUUUCGGCGGUUGGGGAUGGACUCGCGGCUUAUCAGCUUGUUGGUGGGGUAGUGGCCUACCAAGGCUUUGACGGGUAGCCGGCCUGUGAGGGUGACCGGCCACAUUGGGACUGAGAUACGGCCCAGACUCCUACGGGAGGCAGCAGUGGGGAAUAUUGCACAAUGGGCGGAAGCCUGAUGCAGCAACGCCGCGUGCGGGAUGACGGCCUUCGGGUUGUAAACCGCUUUCGCCUGUGACGAAGCGUGAGUGACGGUAAUGGGUAAAGAAGCACCGGCUAACUACGUG